rnacentral:rRNA from 1 species
UACGAAGGGUGCAAGCGUUACUCGGAAUUACUGGGCGUAAAGCGUGCGUAGGCGGUGUGUUAAGUCUGUUGUGAAAUCCCCGGGCUCAACCUGGGACUUGCAUUGGAUACUGGCUCGCUAGAGUACGGUAGAGGGUGGUGGAAUUCCCGGUGUAGCAGUGAAAUGCGUAGAGAUCGGGAGGAACAUCUGUGGCGAAGGCGGCCACCUGGACCAGUACUGACGCUGAGGCGCGAAAGCGUGGGGAGCAAACAGG